UACUAAUAUAUAUUAGUACGAACAAAUAAGCGCCUGUAGCUCAGUGGAUAGAGCGUCUGUUUCCUAAGCAGAAAGUCGUAGGUUCGACCCCUACCUGGCGCGUA